GAUGAACGCUGGCGGCGUGCCUAAUACAUGCAAGUCGAGCGAACGGACGAGAAGCUUGCUUUUCUGAUGUUGGCGGCGGACGGGUGAGUAACACGUGGAUAACCUACCUAUAAGACUGGGAUAACUUCGGGAAACCGGAGCUAAUACCGGAUAAUAUUUUGAACCGCAUGGUUCAAAAGUGAAAGACGGUCUUGCUGUCACUUAUAGAUGGAUCCGCGCUGCAUUAGCUAGUUGGUAAGGUAACGGCUUACCAAGGCAACGAUGCAUAGCCGACCUGAGAGGGUGAUAGGCCACACUGGAACUGAGACACGGUCCAGACUCCUACGGGAGGCAGCAGUAGGGAAUCUUCCGCAAUGGGCGAAAGCCUGACGGAGCAACGCCGCGUGAGUGAUGAAGGUCUUCGGAUCGUAAAACUCUGUUAUUAGGGAAGAACAUAUGUGUAAGUAACUGUGCACAUCUUGACGGUACCUAAUCAGAAAGCCACGGCUAACUACGUG
rnacentral:rRNA from 1 species